rnacentral:rRNA from 1 species
AGCUUGCUCCCGGAUGUUAGCGGCGGACGGGUGAGUAACACGUGGGUAACCUGCCUGUAAGACUGGGAUAACUCCGGGAAACCGGAGCUAAUACCGGAUAGUUCCUUGAACCGCAUGGUUCAAGGAUGAAAGACGGUUUCGGCUGUCACUUACAGAUGGACCCGCGGCGCAUUAGCUAGUUGGUGGGGUAAUGGCUCACCAAGGCGACGAUGCGUAGCCGACCUGAGAGGGUGAUCGGCCACACUGGGACUGAGACACGGCCCAGACUCCUACGGGAGGCAGCAGUAGGGAAUCUUCCGCAAUGGACGAAAGUCUGACGGAGCAACGCCGCGUGAGUGAUGAAGGUUUUCGGAUCGUAAAGCUCUGUUGUUAGGGAAGAACAAGUGCGAGAGUAACUGCUCGCACCUUGACGGUACCUAACCAGAAAGCCACGGCUAACUACGUGCCAGCAGCCGCGGUAAUACGUAGGUGGCAAGCGUUGUCCGGAAUUAUUGGGCGUAAAGGGCUCGCAGGCGGUUUCUUAAGUCUGAUGUGAAAGCCCCCGGCUCAACCGGGGAGGGUCAUUGGAAACUGGGAAACUUGAGUGCAGAAGAGGAGAGUGGAAUUCCACGUGUAGCGGUGAAAUGCGUAGAGAUGUGGAGGAACACCAGUGGCGAAGGCGACUCUCUGGUCUGUAACUGACGCUGAGGAGCGAAAGCGUGGGGAGCGAACAGGAUUAGAUACCCUGGUAGUCCACGCCGUAAACGAUGAGUGCUAAGUGUUAGGGGGUUUCCGCCCCUUAGUGCUGCAGCUAACGCAUUAAGCACUCCGCCUGGGGAGUACGGUCGCAAGACUGAAACUCAAAGGAAUUGACGGGGGCCCGCACAAGCGGUGGAGCAUGUGGUUUAAUUCGAAGCAACGCGAAGAACCUUACCAGGUCUUGACAUCCUCUGACAACCCUAGAGAUAGGGCUUUCCCUUCGGGGACAGAGUGACAGGUGGUGCAUGGUUGUCGUCAGCUCGUGUCGUGAGAUGUUGGGUUAAGUCCCGCAACGAGCGCAACCCUUGAUCUUAGUUGCCAGCAUUUA